rnacentral:tRNA from 1 species
CCUUAGCUCAGUUGGUAGAGCAACUGACUUUUAAUCAGUAGGUCGAGAGUUCGAGCCUCUCAGG